rnacentral:rRNA from 1 species
UUGACCGUAAACGAUGCCAACUGUCGAUCCGCUUGUGGAUUUUAUUCAUGAGCGGGGGAGAUUUCCGGAAACGAAAGUUUUUCGGUUUCGGGGGAAGUAUGGUUGCAAAGCUGAAACUUAAAGGAAUUGACGGAAGGGCACCACCAGGAGUGGAAGCUUGCGGCUUAAUUUGACUCAACACGGGAAAUCUCACCCGGCCAGUACAUCGUGAGGAUUGACAGACUGACAGCUCUUUCAUGAUUCGGUGAAUGGUGGUGCAUGGCCGUUCUUAGUUCGUGGAUUGAUUUGUCUGGUUUAUUCCGAUAACGAGCGAGACUUUGACUAUUAAAUAGUGCGAUUGUUGCUUCGGCUGCGAUUGAACACUUCUUAAAGGAAUUUGUGGCUUCUAGCCUCAAGAAAUUGAGCAAUAACAGGUCUGUGAUGCCCUUAGAUGUUCGGGGCCGCACGCGUGCUACAAUGGUGGUAACAGCGUGAUUGUCCUUUUCCGAGAGGAAUUGGCAAACAGUUGAGAUAUUAUUAUGGCUGGAAUUGAGUUGUUGAAAUUUUCUCUCAUGAACGAGGGAAAAUUUCCAAGUAAAUGCGAGUCAUUAACUUGCAUUG